rnacentral:tRNA from 1 species
GCCCCUAUCGUCUAGUGGACUAGGACGCGGCCCUUUCAAGGCCACGACCGGGGUUCGAAUCCCCGUAGGGGCACCA